rnacentral:rRNA from 1 species
GACGAACGCUGGCGGCGUGCUUAACACAUGCAAGUCGAGCGGUAAGGCCCUUUCGGGGGUACACGAGCGGCGAACGGGUGAGUAACACGUGGGUGACCUGCCCGCAGCUCUGGGAUAAGCCUGGGAAACCGGGUCUAAUACUGGAUAUGACUCCAUGACGCAUGUUGUGGGGUGGAAAGCCUUGUGCGGCUGAGGAUGGGCCCGCGGCCUAUCAGCUUGUUGGUGGGGUGANGGCCUACCAAGGCGACGACGGGUAGCCGGCCUGAGAGGGCGACCGGCCACACUGGGACUGAGACACGGCCCAGACUCCUACGGGAGGCAGCAGUGGGGAAUCUUGCGCAAUGGGCGAAAGCCUGACGCAGCGACGCCGCGUGAGGGAUGACGGCCU